AUGGUAAUUAUUGAUCUGUUCCUCUUGUGUGUGUUUCCAUGCCAGGAUGCCCUUGGUGAAGUGAAGAUGGAUGACAAGGCAACCAUGUUCGUCAAGAUCGGCGACCAGAAGUUAGCCAUCCGGACCCUCUCUACUGACAAGUUCCCUCAGAUCCAGUUCGACCUCGUCUUGGAGAAGGAGUUUGAGCUGUCACACAAUUCCAAGACAUCCAGCCUGCUGAGGGAGAUGAAUAUCCUUUUCUAUAGUAGUACUAAUGUGUCUUCUUCUUCUUACGUCAAGUACACAUUUACAUGUCUUAUGUAUAAUACUACUUGA
rnacentral:rRNA from 1 species